UUCUUAUAGAAUUUAAUUAUAAGUAUAACCUGCUCAAUAGAGAAAUCUUAAAUAGCCGCAGUUCCCUGUGCUAAGGUAGCAUAAUCAUUUGUCUUUUAAUUAAAGACUAGAAUGAAUGGUUGCACAUUUAACACCUGUCUCAAGAUACUCUCGCUAACCUAUUUUAAAUAUUAAAAAAUAUUUAUCAUCCAAAAAGACGACAAGACCCUAUCAAACUUUCACUAUAGUUAAGCUGGGGCAGCUACAUAAAAAAAACUUAUUAGUACUAUCACUCUUCAAAAACACGAUCUGCCAAAGGCAACAAACUGAUUAAGUUACUGUAGGGAUAACAGCGCAAUAUUUCUCUAAAGCUCUUAUCCCAAGAUAAGAUUGCGACCUCGAUGUUGAAUUAAUUUUCCUUCUAGACGCAACCGUCUACUAAGUAGGGUCUGGUUCGACCUUUAAAAGAUUACG
rnacentral:rRNA from 1 species